rnacentral:rRNA from 1 species
UGGGGGAUAUUGGACAAUGGGGGGAACCCUGAUCCAGCGACGCCGCGUGAGUGAAGAAGUAUUUCGGUAUGUAAAGCUCUGUCAGCAGGGAAGAAAGAAAUGGCGGUACCUGACCAAGAAGCCCCGGCUAACUACGUGCCAGCAGCCGCGGUAAUACGUAGGGGGCAAGCGUUAUCCGGAAUCACUGGGUGUAAAGGGAGCGUAGACGGUUGUGCAAGUCUGGAGUGAAAGGCGGGGGCCCAACCCCCGGACUGCUCUGGAAACUGUGUAACUGGAGUGCAGGAGAGGCAGGCGGAAUUCCUGGUGUAGCGGUGAAAUGCGUAGAUAUCAGGAGGAACACCAGUGGCGAAGGCGACCUACUGGGCACCAACUGACGCUGAGGCUCGAAAGCAUGGGUAGCAAACAGGAUUAGAUACC